GACGGAGGAGGCAAGCGUUAUCCGGAAUUAUGGGGCGUAAAGGGUACGUAGGCGGCUGGUCAAGUCUGGGGUUAAAGGCCACAGCUCAACUGUGGGAAGGCCCUGGAAACUGACCGGCUAGAGUGAGGUAGGGGUUGCGGGAAUUCCCGGUGUAGCGGUGAAAUGCGUAGAGAUCGGGAAGAACACCUGAGGCGGAAGCGCGCAACUGGGCCUCAACUGACGCUGAGGUACGAAAGCUAGGGGAGCGAAGGGG
rnacentral:rRNA from 1 species